rnacentral:rRNA from 1 species
CACGUAGGGCGCGAGCGUUGUCCGGAAUUAUUGGGCGUAAAGAGCUCGUAGGCGGCCUGUUGCGUCCGCUGUGAAAGCCCGGGGCUUAACCCCGGGUCGGCAGUGGAUACGGGCAGGCUAGAGGUAGGUAGGGGAGAAUGGAAUUCCCGGUGUAGCGGUGAAAUGCGCAGAUAUCGGGAGGAACACCGGUGGCGAAGGCGGUUCUCUGGGCCUUACCUGACGCUGAGGAGCGAAAGCGUGGGGGCAAACAGG